AAGAGCUCACCACUUGAACAAAUUAUUUGUUACUAAUAAUUUAGCAAUGCUAAUUCAAGAUUUCUCAACUGCAUUAAUUUAAUAAAUUGGGUGUAUAGAUAUUUUAGCUUACAGGAAUUUACUUGAAUUCUAGGUCUUUUUAAAACAGCCUAAGUUACUACUACAUGCUGUUAUCCAGUAUGAUAGCUACAUUGAAGAGCAUCUGCUGUCCUGCUAAUUGGGGGAAUGUUGCAGAGAUGACUCUCUUCACAUUGUGCAAAGACUUCAUUACAUAUUGUGUGAUAGCGUAUCUUGAUACACAAAUGUACACACACAAUUGGCUCACUUAGCACUGCACACUUAACUGAUUUCUGUGUUAGACAAAUACUAUACAGUGAUGUACUUGCUGAGAAUAAUAGACUUAAAUACCAAAAGGCAGCCCAGAAAUAGAGGAAGGUGGAAGGAGGAAGUUAGUGAGAGUUAUAAGAAAAAUGAAUCAUAAAAUUAUUAUGUGCCUUUCUGUAAUGUACUGCAUUAAGGAAAAUAACCUCUUGCUGUACAAAAACAAAAUGUCAUUUUCAAAAUCAGUUUGAUGGAAAUGUGGGCAGGAGACAUUUGUGGAUUACAAUAGCCACUUCGUUUCACUAUGCAAGUAAUUCUCAGCCUCCAUAUUGUAGCUUAACUAAAAGGAGGCAUAGGUAUGUCCUUUUAUUGGCAAAGCCAAUUGACACUACUAUUGUGAAGUGUUAGCUGUUGAAUAUGUAAUUAUGUCUGACAGCCAUUCUUUUUAGUUUUUUUAAAUUUGUGUAGAUCUUUAUUGUUAAAUUUCUUUCAAUCAUCUUGAAAUGACUGUACUAGAAUGAUGCUUGUCAGAUUCCCAAUAUCAUUUUAUAAAUUGAAAUGUUUAAAUUAUUCUUUACCGCUAUCCAAAAAUGCAAUGGUUUAAUACGAUCAAAGUUCCAUUUUUAAGUGUGUAAUUGCUUUGACAUAUACAUCUGACAUUGCAUGGCUAGAAUCCUAAUUUAAUCUUUCGGGAUUUUUUUGCUUUGAUGGUCAGACUCCCAAAGUUAAGAAAAUUGUGGGAGUUACUGGAAAACUAGAGAGCUAACACACUAGUAGAGCUCAGCCUUACCCUCUUUGGUUUGCUUAAUUUUUAACAACUUUUUCAAAAUCCAACAAUUUACCUUAUGUAAAGGACUUGGUUAUAUCCAGGUUUUGAGACAAGAAGACUACCUCAAUGCAGAUGACUGAUUUCUUUGGGGAUUCACCUGAAGGCCCAGUCUGGACACUAACUGACUAUACCUAGGUGCCAUUCUCUCUUCUACGGUAUCUGGAUGAAACAGACAUUCAGCUUCCUGUGUCUGAGCUUAGAAUUGCACACAUAAUCAAAAGGUUGAAGGUCUGUGAAACUUGAUAGAAAAGGAAGGCUUUUCAAAACUGGCUUUUCGGUCCAUGGAAAAAUGCAUCUCCAUCUUGACUCAGACAUGAUGGACAGAGUGAGAGGGGCUUCAGUGAAGUGAUUAAGAUACUGGUGUUAAUGAGGUUGGCGAAGGGCCCUCCCAGUGAGUUGCUGAUUAAGUAAACAGUCCUUGGAACAACAAAAGCUUCUUUCCUUUGUUUAGAUAUUAUCAAGUUUUCCAUCCAGCAGGGAUGUGGCUAGCUGUGCAUUGUUAUGAAAUACAUUUAAAGUAGAACCUAUCUGUACUGCAGUUCCUCUCCAUUAAACCUUUUACAAUGUUUUUUUUUUUAAGUUUAACAUGAUUGUUUCUGCUGGUGUGGAUGGGGAAUUGUAUUUUUUUUAAUCUUCACUAUUAAGAGUAAAACUGUCUAAAGUGUGA